rnacentral:rRNA from 1 species
GACGAACGCUGGCGGCGUGCUUAACACAUGCAAGUCGAACGGAAAGGCCCUGCCUUUGUGGGGUGCUCGAGUGGCGAACGGGUGAGUAACACGUGAGUAACCUGCCCUUGACUUUGGGAUAACUUCAGGAAACUGGGGCUAAUACCGGAUAGGAGCUCCUGCUGCAUGGUGGGGGAUGGAAAGUUUCGGCGGUUGGGGAUGGACUCGCGGCUUAUCAGCCUGUUGGUGGGGUAGUGGCUUACCAAGGCUUUGACGGGUAGCCGGCCUGAGAGGGUGACCGGCCACAUUGGGACUAAGAUACGGCCCAGACUCCUACGGGAGGCAGCAGUGGGGAAUAUUACACAAUGGGCGGAAGCCUGAUGCAGGAACGCCGCGUGCGGGAUGACGGCCUUCGGGUUGUAAACCGCUUUCGCCUGUGACGAAGCGUGAGUGACGGUAAUGAGUAAAGAAGCACCGGCUAACUACGUG